UUUAGUGUUUGUUUCCUGAUUCUGUUCCUGGUAGCAGUCUCUCUGGCCAUGAACAAUUAACUGAAGAUUCUCUCACUCGUGAAUUAAAGUCAGCUCCUCCUAAUAGUCUCACAAUGCGUCUAGCCAAAGCUUUCUGUAACAUUCAUAAUGAUUAUGGUCUUAAAGCAAUGGCUCAUAUUUGGUAUGAAGUGAUACAGGAACUGCGCUACAGGUGGGAGAAUGGUAUAACGUUACCAAGAUGUUAAACAACUGUAUACUACACAAGAUAUCACAUGC